UACGAAGGGGGCUAGCGUUGCUCGGAAUCACUGGGCGUAAAGCGCACGUAGGCGGACUCUUAAGUCAGGGGUGAAAUCCUGGAGCUCAACUCCAGAACUGCCUUUGAUACUGAGAGCCUUGAGUUCGGGAGAGGUGAGUGGAACUGCGAGUGUAGAGGUGAAAUUCGUAGAUAUUCGGAAGAACACCAGUGGCGAAGGCGACUUACUGGACACAUAUUGACGCUGAGGUGCGAAAGCGUGGGGAGCAAACAGG
rnacentral:rRNA from 1 species